UCCGGCUUAACGCCGGCAGUCCCCCCAGAGUCCCCAACUGAAUGAUGGCAACUAAGGACAAGGGUUGCGCUCGUUACGGGACUUAACCCAACAUCUCACAACACGAGCUGACGACAGCCAUGCAGCACCUGUCUCUAGGUUCCUUUCGGCACUCUCAACUCUCAUCGAGAUUCCUAGGAUGUCAAGGGUAGGUAAGGUUCUUCGCGUUGCAUCGAAUUAAACCACAUGCUCCACCGCUUGUGCGGGCCCCCGUCAAUUCCUUUGAGUUUCAACCUUGCGGCCGUACUUCCCAGGCGGAAGACUUAUCGCGUUAGCUUCAAUACUAUAAGGUUCCCCUUACAACAUUUAGUCCUCAUCGUUUACAGCGUGGACUAC
rnacentral:misc_RNA from 1 species